rnacentral:rRNA from 1 species
UACGUAGGAGGCGAGCGUUGUCCGGAUUUACUGGGCGUAAAGCGCGCGCAGGCGGCACUUCAAGUAAGGUGUGAAAUCUCCCUGCUCAACGGGGAGGGUGCACUUUAGACUGAGGAGCUAGAGGACGGUAGAGGGGGGUGGAAUUGCUGGUGUAGCGGUGAAAUGCGUAGAGAUCAGCAGGAACACCCGUGGCGGAAGGCGGCCCCCUGGGCCGUACCUGACGCUGAGGCGCGAAGGCUAGGGGAGCGAACGGG